GUACCCGCAUCGGCAACACAUACACUAAAGUUGGAACAAUACAGAGAAGAUUAACAUGGCCUUUAUAUAAGGAGGACAUGUAAAUUCGUGAAGUGUUCCAUACUUUU
rnacentral:snRNA from 1 species